rnacentral:rRNA from 1 species
UUUUUGAAUUUAAUUUAAAGUAAGGCCUGCCCMCUGAAAAUUUAAAGGGCCGCAGUAUUUUGACUGUGCAAAGGUAGCAUAAUCAUUAGUUUUUUAAUUGAAAGCUGGAAUGAAUGGUUAAAUGAAAAAAUAACUGUCUUAAAUUUAAAAUAAAAUUUUAUUUUUAAGUAAAAAAGCUUAAAUUUAUUUAAAAGACGAGAAGACCCUAUAGAGUUUAAUUUUAUAAAAAUUUAUAAUUUUAAGAAUUUAAUAUUUAUUUUUUUUUUAAAAAAAUUUAAUUGGGGUGAUUAUAAAAUUUAAAUAACUUUUAUUUAAUUAAAACAAAAAUUUUUGAUUUAUUGAUCCAUUUAAUGAUUAUAAGACUAAAUUACCUUAGGGAUAACAGCGUAAUUUUUUUUGAGAGUUCUUAUUAAAAAAAGAGAUUGCGACCUCGAUGUUGGAUUAAAGUUAAAAUUUGGUGUAGAAGCUAAAUAUUUAGGUCUGUUCGACCUUUAAAACUUUACA